AUGAACGCUGGCGGCGUGCCUAAUACAUGCAAGUCGAGCGAACAGAUGAGGAGCUUGCUCCUCUGACGUUAGCGGCGGACGGGUGAGUAACACGUGGAUAACCUACCUAUAAGACUGGGAUAACUUCGGGAAACCGGAGCUAAUACCGGAUAAUAUAUUGAACCGCAUGGUUCCAUAGUUAAAGACGGUUUUGCUGUCACUUAUAGAUGGAUCCGCGCCGCAUUAGCUAGUUGGUAAGGUAACGGCUUACCAAGGCAACGAUGCGUAGCCGACCUGAGAGGGUGAUCGGCCACACUGGAACUGAGACACGGUCCAGACUCCUACGGGAGGCAGCAGUAGGGAAUCUUCCGCAAUGGGCGAAAGCCUGACGGAGCAAAGCCGCGUGAGUGAUGAAGGUCUUCGGAUCGUAAAACUCUGUUAUUAGGGAAGAACAAAUGUGUAAGUAACUAUGCACGUAUUGACGGUACCUAAUCAGAAAGCCACGGCUAACUACGUG
rnacentral:rRNA from 1 species